GUUGCCCCUUUCCGCCCGAUGCCCUCUGUGGGUGUGGGGCGGACGCCAGGCACGCUACGUGUUCCUCGCAUGCCUUGCCUUGUUGCGGGGCUGCUGAGGCCCACGGAGCUGUUGCCCGUUCUCUCGGAUGCGGAACGUCGUGCGCGGGUGCGGGGUCUCGGCCUUCGCUUGCCCGAGCUAUGCAUUUGUCCCUUGACGCGAACGACUGCCGCGGCCGUCUCGACCCCGUCGUAGCCCGCGUGCUGGGCGGGGCUCGUGCGGCCGUGGGCGUCGUCGAGGAAUGCUACCUGGUUGAUCCUGCCA
rnacentral:misc_RNA from 1 species